GAUGAACGCAGGCGGCGUGCCUAAUACAUGCAAGUCGAGCGAACAGACGAGGAGCUUGCUCCUCUGACGUUAGCGGCGGACGGGUGAGUAACACGUGGAUAACCUACCUAUAAGACUGGGAUAACUUCGGGAAACCGGAGCUAAUACCGGAUAAUAUAUUGAACCGCAUGGUUCAAUAGUGAAAGACGGUUUUGCUGUCACUUAUAGAUGGAUCCGCGCCGCAUUAGCUAGUUGGUAAGGUAACGGCUUACCAAGGCAACGAUGCGUAGCCGACCUGAGAGGGUGAUCGGCCACACUGGAACUGAGACACGGUCCAGACUCCUACGGGAGGCAGCAGUAGGGAAUCUUCCGCAAUGGGCGAAAGCCUGACGGAGCAACGCCGCGUGAGUGAUGAAGGUCUUCGGAUCGUAAAGCUCUGUUAUUAGGGAAGAACAAAUGUGUAAGUAACUAUGCACGUCUUGACGGUACCUAAUCAGAAAGCCACGGCUAACUACGU
rnacentral:rRNA from 1 species